ACGGACAUGGUGCACGGCGCACCGCGGCAUGACAUCGUCUUUUCAGCCUCUUUGCAUGCCGCAAACCCGGGUUCGACUCCCGGUGUCCGUA